rnacentral:rRNA from 1 species
UACAGAGGGGGCAAGCGUUGUUCGGAAUUACUGGGCGUAAAGGGCGCGUAGGCGGCCUUCUAAGUCGAACGUGAAAUCCCCGGGCUCAACCCGGGAACUGCGUCGGAUACUAUUCGGCUCGAGGAAUGGAGGGGAGACUGGAAUUCUCGGUGUAGCAGUGAAAUGCGUAGAUAUCGAGAGGAACACCAGUGGCGAAGGCGAGUCUCUGGACAUUUCCUGACGCUGAGGCACGAAAGCCAGGGGAGCAAACGGG